rnacentral:sRNA from 1 species
UGGCGCUGGCCAGGUUAGAAAACACUUCGAUUAAAUCUGUCUCACCAGCAUAGAAUUAAGCAUCUGAUAAGAAAUAGGGU